AGUGAACGCUGGCGGUAGGCCUAACACAUGCAAGUCGAACGGCAGCACAGUAAGAGCUUGCUCUUACGGGUGGCGAGUGGCGGACGGGUGAGGAAUACAUCGGAAUCUACUUUUUCGUGGGGGAUAACGUAGGGAAACUUACGCUAAUACCGCAUACGACCUACGGGUGAAAGCAGGAGAUCUUCGGACCUUGCGCGAUUGAAUGAGCCGCUGUCGGAUUAGCUAGUUGGCGGGGUAAAGGCCCACCAAGGCGACGAUCCGUAGCUGGUCUGAGAGGAUGAUCAGCCACACUGGAACGGAGACACGGUCCAGACUCCUACGGGAGGCCGCGGUGGGGAAUAUUCGACAGUGGGCGCAAGCCUGAUCCAGCCGUACCGCGUGGGUGAAGCAGGCCUUCGGGUUGUAAAGCCCUUUUGUUGGGAAAGAAAAGCAGCAGGUUAAUACCCAGCUGUUCUGACGGUACCCAAAGAAUAAGCACCGGCUAACUUCGUG
rnacentral:rRNA from 1 species